rnacentral:rRNA from 1 species
UACGUAGGGGGCGAGCGUUGUCCGGAAUCAUUGGGCGUAAAGCGCGCGUAGGCGGCCAGGUAAGUCCGGUGUGAAAGUCACAGGCUCAACCUGUGAAUGCCGCUGGAAACUGCCUGGCUUGAGUCCGGAAGGGGCGAGUGGAAUUCCUGGUGUAGCGGUGAAAUGCGCAGAUAUCAGGAGGAACACCAAUGGCGAAGGCAGCGCGCUGGAACGGUACUGACGCUGAGGCGCGAAAGCGUGGGGAGCGAACAGG